UGGCGAACGGGUGAGUAACACGUGGGCAACCUGCCCAAAAGAGGGGGAUAACACUUGGAAACAGGUGCUAAUACCGCAUAACCAUAGUUACCGCAUGGUAACUAUGUAAAAGGUGGCUAUGCUACCGCUUUUGGAUGGGCCCGCGGCGCAUUAGCUAGUUGGUGGGGUAAAGGCUUACCAAGGCAAUGAUGCGUAGCCGAACUGAGAGGUUGAUCGGCCACAUUGGGACUGGGACACGGCCCAAACUCCUACGGAAGGCAGCAG
rnacentral:rRNA from 1 species